CAGCUGAGCACACUACAGUGAGCACUGUCAAUAAUUCCUUUUAUUCUCCAGCUAAUCAAGAAACCCAGCCUUUGAUAUCUGAGUCAUUGCUCCACAUCCUGCCCCGCUUCAGCACUUCCUCAUUCAAGGCAGAAGCUCCUUGCAGCAGCACAUUUCAAUCUCAGCACAUUCAGGCAGGAUACCGAGAGAUCCCACACUGCCUUCCCUCCCACUCAGGACAAGGAAUCUAGAGCCAGCCAUCCCUGUGGAAGCUGAACAUUCCUAAACAUACACAGAAGGUGGCAGUCCAGUCCAGGUGGCAAGACACUGCAGACACAUGUCAAUGGCCAGAGCUUUGUUUCAACAGAGACAGAAAUAGCAGCUGGAGCAGCCGGUGAAGUUCACGACUGGGAAGGAUUCCUAAGGGCCAGGAAGGCACAAAAAUGAAAUGGGAGACUUCUCUCUGGAUGGUUGCCUGCUUACUGUUUGCAUCUCUACCCAGAGGUCAACCAGACACAACAUGUCACGCAGUAGUUGGAGAAACUGUCAUUUUGCCUUGCACCACUCCCUCUCCUGGAGACCUGAUCCUUUCCAAUUCAAUGCUCUACUGGCAGAUAGGGCACACUGUCUUAGUCCACUUUUUUUACAAGGGGCAGGACUCGCUGGAACACCAGAAUGAACGUUACUCUGGCAGAACUAGUCUUUUUUUGGACCAGAUGAAGCAUGGCAACUUUUCCUUAAAGCUCUCCAGUGUCCAAUUACUGGACACAGCUGAAUAUACUUGCAUCUACAAACGGACUGGGGAUCAUCCCAACCAAACACAGAAAUCUAAAAUUAAUCUCAUUGUAUCAGCUCCACCUAGCAUUGAAGAGGCACCUUCCCCUUCUGGACACAGCCAGAUUUCCUCCAGAAGCCCUGCUGAUGUGCCAUUUCUGGCUAUGCUUCCCCUCUCUUUCCACCUCCUGGUCUCACUGGGGGUUUGGCAGUUGUAACUGGGGAACAGGAGAAUCUUUGGGAAUUUCUCCUCACCAGAGGACCUCGCUGGGCAGAACAGCUCUGUAGGGUUAGCAUGACACCUGCUCCAGAGCCAUGGGGGAAGAAUCAUCAAAGCUGAGAACUGACCUAGCACUAGGUGUUUAUAUCCCACAUUCUGGUGUUCCACAAAGCCAAAGGCAGCAACACUCAGAGGUGGCACGUCUACUUUCUCAUUUUUUUCUGGGAGCCCAGUUUUAGUGCUGCCAGUAUGAACAUUUUAUUUUGGAUUUUGCGGUUUUGCUUUAGCGGCAGGAUAAAAGAUUCACAAAAUUACAAAGUCAUAUAAUUGACCUGAGUGAGAUCUUUCUCCUAAGACCUCAUCUGCUGUCCUUCAAGAGAACCAAAAAGGAGGAGAAGUGGUAAUUAGCCUCUGUGUCAGAUAAAAACUGGAAGUAGGAAGACGCUUGCGUUUUGUGAAAUGUAAGGAUGGAAACCUUGUGAAACUUGAGCCUGUGGAACUUCAGCUUCUAUUUUUACUCUUCAGCGUCAUGGGCUAUCAGCAACAACUUUUUUUUUCCACAAGAAAUGUAGUAGUUCUUCAGCGGAAGGAUGAAGCUGACUGAGAAAAAUGAUGGAAGUUCAUAAAACAUCAACAUAGAGGAAGGAAGUGACGUAUUAUUACAAAAUCCACUGCUAAAUAAGCCAAAAGCUUUAGAAGUCUGAAUUCGGUAUUUUCUCUUUUUGUCCUUAAACACAGCAAGGUAAAUGUGAUCAUCGCCCAAAAGCUGGAUUCUUAAGCUAAAACUGUGCGACCAGAAAUUGUUACUGUGACAAUGUUACUUCUUUAAAAACGGCACCUUUGGAGGAAAAAAGAAUUAAAAACUGGUCAGAAUAAUUGUAACCGAUACCUAUGCAAAUUAAAUGGGUUUAGUUCUGGAAACGCUGGACUCAGGUAGCACAGAUGUCCUGUAUAAAACUGAGACUGAAAGGAUCCUGUGUACCAGCAACAUCAAGAAAGUGCAGAGGUUUCAUUUCAGGCCAGAGCUGCUGCGACUGCCCUCUUAUAGAAUGGAGAAGCAUCUGGAGAAUCCUCACCCUGGCCGGUGGGCAGCGGUGAUUGCAGCGCACUCCUUCUGCCUGAGCCCUCAAGCAGAGGGAAGUGACUCAUCAGGUUGCAUAUAAAGUCAUUUUUAUUUGGAACAGUUCCACUCUCUUUCCAAAGGAAAGACGGGAUUGUUUUUGCCGGGAAAUGAACAGAAUAAAAUAAAAGAGUUUCAAAAUGGUAUCCA
rnacentral:lncRNA from 1 species